rnacentral:rRNA from 1 species
GUACACACCGCCCGUCACACCAUGGGAGUGGGUUUCACCAGAAGUAGGUAGCCUAACCGCAAGGAGGGCGCUUACCACGGUGGGAUUCAUGACUGGGGUGAAGUCGUAACAAGGUUUCCGUAGGUGAACCUGCAGAAGGAUCA